GAGAGCUGCAAGUUUAAAGAGGGAAUUACCCAGGGGGAGGGACGGUCAAGCAGUGCCCAAGCAGAGGCACAAACCCAACACGGAGCUAACAGCAGAGAGAGAAGCCCAGGACGCGGCUCCCCCACGGAGCACAGAGGCAGGCGGUAGGCUCCCUGAAGUGGCAUUACGACCCGAGCUUCAAACCUGGCACCAUGUGGGGAGACAGCAGACCCCCACUGAAAAUGGCACCUUAAUUAGCCUCAGGAAGAGUUUGUUUUAUUUUGGCCACAGCUGUAACACCCACUGAGGCCAAACUAAAGUAGUGCAGGAGCUCGCCCUCUUCACAGCUGGGGGAAGACGGAAGUUCUUGGCAGGAGUGUGGAAGCUUGGAGAAAGCGAGGCCCUUGUCCUCAUUCAGGGAGCUGCUACCUCAGUUAGAAUUAGACAAUAGAACCAAGGUGGUGGUUUGAGACAUAAACGAGUGGAGAAAAGAAGGCUGCCCUGCAGAAGCCUGGUGAGGAGAGUGGAUUCAGCUCACUUGGGAAGAACUGCUUCCAAGAUGGCUCACGAAUGUGGUUGGCACACUGGUGCUGGCUGCUGUCAGGGGACUUCAUUUC
ensembl:lncRNA